GUAGUCCAUGCCGUAAACGUUGGGCGCUAGGUGUGGGGUCCAUUCCACGGAUUCCGUGCCGCAGCUAACGCAUUAAGCGCCCCGCCUGGGGAGUACGGCCGCAAGGCUAAAACUCAAAGGAAUUGACGGGGGCCCGCACAAGCGGCGGAGCAUGCGGAUUAAUUCGAUGCAACGCGAAGAACCUUACCAAGGCUUGACAUGCGCGGUGGAAUCCCAGAGAUGGGGUGUCAUUUAGUUGGUCGCGUACAGGUGGUGCAUGGUUGUCGUCAGCUCGUGUCGUGAGAUGUUGGGUUAAGUCCCGCAACGAGCGCAACCCUCGUUCCAUGUUGCCAGCACGUUAUGGUGGGGACUCAUGGGAGACUGCCGGGGUCAACUCGGA
rnacentral:rRNA from 1 species